CAAAUCGGGCCUGGCAUCUCCAUCUCUCUCCCCGUCACCACUUUUUCUCCCACCUCCGGCGUCGCCGCGGCCAGGCCAUCGUGGCGGCGCGCCAACCAUUACCUCCACCAUCUCCCCACGUCACCAAGUACCUCCACGAUCUCACCAUCAGCCACCAGCGCCAUCCAUCUUCCGCCAUCAGCCACCAGCGCCACCGCAUCACCACCGCGCCUCCACCCCACGCUCGCGCGACCCACCAGACGGCCAUCUGAUCCCUCGCACGAGUCCUCUCCUCUGCUUGUGCCCGACCGCUGCUGCUCCUUCUUCCCUAGCCUCGCUGCUGCUCUUCCUUCUCCAGCUGCUGCUCCACUUCUCCAAAUCCCCAAACGGCUGCUCCUCUUUCUUACACGCCUGCUGUUGUUCUUCUUCUCCUAUCUUGAUGCACCACUACUGCUGCUCCUUGUCUCCUGCGUCCCCUGUUGCUCCUAACUUGCUGCUCCUUCCUCCCUUACCUUGCUGCUGCACUUCUCUGAAUCCGAAUCCUUACUGCUUCUCUCUCUGAAAUUUCUGUAAAAUUUAGAAGUGUAUGAUAUUUAAUAUUCAGAUUUGAAGUGUACUUGCAACCUGCUGUUUGCUCUGUUUAAGUACUUGUAUAAUAUGGUGUAUGUGAUCUGAGAUCUGACUAGUUGAGGCUUUGUUACUUUGGGAGAUACUUGAUCUAUUAUAUUUUGGUUCUACCAAUUAGUAUUCUGCUAGUAUAUGUGUGUGUGUGUGUGUGUAAUUCAUCAAAAAUAUUGUUGUGUGCUGAUGAUUAGUGUUCAGUUUACUGUUCUUGUGAUAUAUACACAUAUGUGUGUGUUAUGUUCAUGUCCUUUUUACUUCUCUUGUCAUUGAUGUUAGCUUGUGUUAGUAUCUUAAUUUCUCAAGUAUUACAAAAAUACCAAAAAGAAAGUUAGUAAAAUCUGAAUCUACCUUUGCUUAUUCGCAUUUUCAUUCGCGACAAUCUUGAUAGUUUAGGUUUAUUUUUUGUUCCCAUCAUAUGAAUUGUAUUACCUAGCUUUAGCCGAAUAUAGUUGCCGUCGCCUAGUCCCUGAGGAGAAAACAACACUCGCAGUUUGGGCGAAAAACCCCACUUUACCUACAAAACGAUCAUUUUGGCGCCGUUGCCGGGGACUAGCGUCUAGUGAUUUUGUUUGGCUAUAGACUAGAUUUUACUUGUUCUCUCUUUUUUCCAUAUAUUUGUGAUAUAUCUCUUACCCCUAACCACUGUUCUAGUUAUCUUCUCUUUCUUUUCUUGUUCAUUUUGUAGAUUGUAUUGUCUUCGGGUAUGGCUUACUAUUCAGAUCAUCAUGCUUAUGCGAGUAACACUACAAAUAGCACGGAAAGUAUUCAAGAACUGAUAAGGAAUUAGGUACAAUGAGAAGAGCAACAACUAUGCACCACAACAAUUUUAUUCAGCUCCUAUUCAUAUACCUCAGAACCAGGAGAUGUUGCCAAUGAGGUUUAAAUGGUCCUCCAUUUGGUCAACCAAUACCUUCAACACAAGUGCCCACACAAGAUGAUUUUGUUGAUAUAGACAAGCUCACAUUGCUUAGUCUCGAGUUCACUUGGAGUGCUGAAGAUGAUCCAAUUAGGCCGGUGAUACUAGAGGAAAUGAAGAAGAUCAAGAGUGGAAAAGAGAUAGUGGAAGAAGUAAGGAAGAUUGAGAAGAACAUCAACGCCGGCAGCACUAUUUCUUCACAGCUAGAGCUGAGUAUUUUUGGGAUAUCCAUUGAGGUGUGUAAGUUUCCAACACCGUCACAUCCAGCUGAGCAAGAUAGGAAGAGUCUAGAGGAAGAGAUACCUCAAAUUGAAGAAGAUGAACUCAAAGACAAGGAACAAGAGGAUCCAGAGCUCGAAAGCCCAAGAAAUCAAGUUGAAGACUCAUCACCUAUUACUCUUGAAGAAGUAGAAGAAGCUGUUGUAGUUGAAGAUGAAGAACCAGAAAUUCAUUUGCUGAUUGUCAUAUAAGAGCGUGAUGUAGCAGGUUUGUCUAAUCCUCUUGCUGACAUGCGUCCAUAUGAUCUGUUUGCUACUACUUUGCAUUGCAUGAUACCAUCAAUUAAGCUAGACCUGAAAAACUGUUUGCUUGGACAUGAUCAUACAUACCCUGUUAUUGGCAUUUCUCUCAUUUAUGAUGACACUUAUUCUCCUUAUGCUAGUCCUAUGCUUAAUGAAACAUAUCAUUCCCAUGCUAGUCUUGAGUUUAAUGAUAAAUUUCAUCCUCAUGUUAGUGUCGACCUUGCUGAUUUCUACCAUCCUAAACAUGUGUUUUAUAGCUAUGCUUAUUUAAUUGGAUACUCAAUUGAUGACUUAGAGGGUAUUAUCCCUACCACUUGCAUUGUCUCUUUUGUUGAGUGCCUUUUCAGGUUUUUGCUUCUGCAUCAUUCACUUCAUGCUGACCAGGUUCGAGGUGACAUUCCUUGGGACCCUGGUGGACCCAAAGCAUGGCGAUGAGGAGAAGCUAUGGGGCACACACGAAGAAGAGUCAAGCUUGAGCAUCCACGAGGAAGCAAAGGAGAAGAGCUGCAGUUGGUGAGAUGAUUGAGCGAGUGCUACACCAUCAAAGCCCGGUGAGCUGUUUCUUGACCCAUUCUAAAUAUAUCAUCCAUUAUUCAUGCUAAAAUCAAUUGCUAUUUGGGUUGUUUGUGCCAUUUCUUAAAUGUUGUCCAACUGAAUUUCACCUUUGACAUAUGGUGCUUGAUGAGAAUAUGCGAACUGAUUUUUGAAUGCCUUGUAAACUAGUGAUCUACACCCUGUUUGCUUUGCUGAAAGUAGUGAAAUCUAUUAGUUUUGAGUGCUCAAAUCCCUAGUGCACUAGUAAACUUAAUCAUUUUAUGCUUUUACCUUGAAACACUUAGAUCAUUAAGUGUUAGAUGCUGAGUUUGUGCCUAUUGUGUUCCCAUUGAGAGCAAUCACUUUACCACCAUGGACUAGUAUGCUAUGUUUCCUGGAUUGGUAGCAUGUGAACCAGACAUGGAGAAGUGAUGAUUCCUGUUUUUGUGCUUAUGCGUUGUUCAUUUAAGAUAAGUAAUAAUGAAUGAAUAAGUCUGAAUACCUACAGUAGCAUGUCAUGCUCCCUUGAUCGGUGGCAUGUGAAAUCAUGUUAGCUUGGGCAGUAAUUAAUAUUAAAAAAUGUAAUUGUCGAACCAGGUGUAUACCAUGUUCUCUGGAUCGGUGGUAUGUUCCUUUGGGGAGACAAACAAAAAAACUAAUAAUUGGUCGAGCCGGGUGUAUACCAUGUUCUCAGGAUCGGUGGCAUGUUCCUAUGGUGAGACUAAUAAUAAUAUAAUCAUUUCUUUAUCUCUGUAAAUAAGUGACUUGAUCACAAGAUUUAAUUCCAGUUCUUUUUGUUCUCGGGAUCAUGCUCUCUUUAGGAACCAUUUGGCAUGGUCAUCAUUUAAACUUGUUGAUCUUCUUUAUCAUUGUAGAAGUUUUAAAUGAUUGAGUCUACUAGUAUCCUACUGCUUUGUAACACUCUUAACCAUUAAUUUUCACUAGCAAAGUCCAAAAGCAUGCAUUCUUUGGAGAUCUAUUUUACCAGGACAUUCUUUACUCAGCUCACUGUUCACAUUCUUGCUCUUGUCAUAUGCCUUUGCUUGAGGACAAGCAAAGAUUUAAGUGUGGGGGAACUUGAUAAGCACAUUUCAUAUAAAUCUUUUGGCACUCAAAUAUGCGGUUUAUUGAGAUAUGACCAUCAAUUCUUGCUGUGAAAUAUUGAAUAUUUGCAUGAAAAUCAUAUAAAGAAUCAUUUACUAGUUAUUUGUUUCUUUUGCAGAGAAGUGCGAGAAGGCACUAUAAACUUCAAGAUCCGGACUAGGUGGCUAAGGGAACGAAGAAGAGGAGGAAGAAUGGACUUGUGCGAGAAGAAACGAAGUAACCAGGGGGCCAACUAUACAAGAGAGGAUCAUCUUGUGCUAAAAGUAAAGGAGGAGGGACAAAUUGCAAUAUGGGAUGAUCAACCGUGGGGUCAAAAUCCCUAGAUGCCUUCAUUCCCAAA